rnacentral:pre_miRNA from 1 species
UCGAUUGGUGGCCCCGACCCCGAAUCGACCAGGGACUCCGAGUUAGAGGUCCCCGGUCGAUUCGGGGGCGGGGCCGCCAAUCGG